GGGCAACAGUAGAACUACAACUCUUGCUUUUUGCACGGACACACUACCCCUCUGGCAAAACCAAAGUCUCUCCCAUUUAGGGUGCUGACUUCCGGCCUAUCUUCUCCCCUUGCAGAGAGACAGGGUAAGAAGACAGCCAGCACUGUGUCAGCUGUGUCUGCCAGGCAAGACCCAACCUGCCUUCCUCAUCACCACAGGAGCUGAGGCGGUGGCAUGGGUGGCAGCAGCCGCCUUCUGUCAGCCAGCCCAGCACAUAGGGGCGGGGACUCCUUCCAGUAAAGCUUGGCUCAAGGUGGAGAACUGACCACCCAACUCCACUGCUCACUAACUCUGUAAACUCAAGAAAAAUUGCCAGAGCCUGGACAUACCUGUGUCCAAAGCACACUGGAAAAACUCUGCUCCAGUCUUCAUAUGCAUGCAUGAAAGCCCAGGCCAGACUCCGGGACAGCAGACUGGUGGGUGACAUGCAGAGCAGGACAGGUUGCCUAGUCACAUGCUCCAGCCUCUCUUCUAAGCCAAAUGAAAGUGAACACAGGACAUUCAGUUAAAUUGGCAUUUCAGGUAAGCUACAAAUAUUUUUAGUGUAUUUUUCAAGUAUUACAUAAGACAUACUUAUGUUGAUGC
rnacentral:lncRNA from 1 species